rnacentral:rRNA from 1 species
GACGAACGCUGGCGGCGUGCCUAACACAUGCAAGUCGAACGGGGUAAGAAGCUUCGGUUUCUUACUUAGUGGCGAACGGGUGAGUAACGCGUGAGAAACCUGCCUUUCAGUGGGGGACAACAGUUGGAAACGACUGCUAAUACCGCAUAAUGUUAUUUGGGGGCAUCCCUGAAUAACCAAAGAUUUAUUGCUGAAGGAUGGUCUCGCGUCUGAUUAGCUAGAUGGCGGGGUAACGGCCCACCAUGGCGACGAUCAGUAGCCGGUCUGAGAGGAUGAACGGGCACAUUGGGACUGAGAUACGGCCCAGACUCCUACGGGGGGCAGCAGUGGGGAAUAUUGGGCAAUGGGGGAAACCCUGACCCAGCAACGCCGCGUGAAGGAAGAAGGCCUUCGGGUUGUAAACUUUUGUCUUUAGGGAAGAUAGUGACGGUACCUAAGGAGGAAGCCACGGCUAACUACGUGCCAGCCGCCGCAGUAAAAC